AUGCAUCGAGGCAAGACAUCUAUGUUGCUUUUCAAUCUUGAUAUCAAGAAGGCCUUUGAUUCCGUGAGAUGGGACUACUUAAUGGAUCUUCUUUAGCAUCUUGGCUUCCCCGCGCGCUUCAGAGGCUGGGUCUCGGCGCUCCUCACCUCGGCUACCUCGAGAGUGUUACUCAACGGCAUGGUCGGAGACCCUAUUAGGCAUGGGAAGGGUUUGUGGCAAGGAGACCCGAUGUCUCCGCUUCUUUUUGUGCUUGCCAUCGAUCCCCUGCACCACAUUCUC
rnacentral:rRNA from 1 species